AGGCCAGGCACUACUCUGUCCCAACAAUAAGCCCUGUACAUUGGGAAAGGUGCCGAGACAUGAACUUUGGUCUUCUCUGCAAUCCAUCUGGAGCAUUCACUGACAACAUCGACUUUGAAGUUGCACUGACCUGGCCAGCCCUGCCACUUACCAGGUUGGGCUGUGGCUUGCCUUUUCACUUCUUGUGUCCUGUUUAAGAAAUAUCUGCUAUCCCAAGCAUCUGGCAUCUUUCUUGACAUAUGUAGCAGUUGCUUUUUGACAGCUUGCUUCUUCAGUGAAUGAAUAAAUUAAUAAAGAGAAAUGUGAUGUUCAGUGAUCCAUUUUGCAGAUUGCAAACUCCUAGAGAAGGGCUCAACAGUGAGUGCUGAGGCUGCACAGAGGAGGAAGGCAGCACAAUGAUGGAAGGCUUCCUAAAGAGGUCAUCUCCUGAAUCAAUUAAAAAAAAAACCAACAGUGACAACAAAACUAAAAAAUAUGAAGAAGCUGAAACAUGAAAGCUCUGCCAACUGCAAUAUGUAGCUGCUAAGGUUGCUGUAUUUAUUGGAAUCAAGCAAGUGUUCCAGUAAAGAGCACAGAAGAUGUGUCUGGGAGCCUUUAUGUAUAACACUAACAAAGUUGACCUUAGAAUUGGAGUGCCUGGGUUAGAACCCUGCUGGUACCACCUGCUUACUGCAUGCUUCUGAUGUGAGUUCAGGAGAAGACACUGGCAAGGACAGCAAAGAACAGGAGAACACUCUAGCUUCCCUGAUAGCAUUCAAGGUGCUGUCCAAAGCUCUUGAGUUUCUGCUUUCAAGUGACCCUCAGAAAUUCCUCCAUUCACUGCAGAGGUUCUGUUUCUCCUUGCUUUGUUCUGACUUUACGGCAGAACUAAGCUAAUGAGUUAGUUACUAUGGGUUAUCACUUGGAUUUGAAGAACCAUCAUUUCUAGGCAUUGCUGCUCAGAGUGGGUCUGCCCUCAGGGGAAGCUGUCUAACCAGAGCCUAACCCACUAGGGUUUUAUCAGAACCUAACUGACCUGAGGAAAAGAAAUACUCAACUCCAGCAAGCUCCAGCCUUCCAAAUGGAGGAGGAGAAAACCCAACUCCAGCCCACUUCAGCUAUCUUGUCCCACAUAAAGGGGAAGUGGAAGAAACCUGAGAAGCAGGCAUGAAGUUCACAGUCCAGAGGUACAGACACAUCAGAGUUCAGUAUCUGAUGAAUUAGAUGCAAAAACCUCAACAAAGUAUUAGCAAAUUGAAUUCAACAAUGUAUGAAAAUUAUUACAUGCCAUGACUAAUUGGAAUUUAUCUCAGGUAUACAAGCCACGCUGAACAUCUGAAAAUCAAUUCAUGUGAUCCAUCACAUUAGCAGACUCAA
rnacentral:lncRNA from 1 species